AGCUCCAAUAGCGUAUACUAAUGUUGUUGCAGUUAAAAAGCUCGUAGUCGGAUUUCAGUAUUAGGUUCAGCCAUUUAUUUGUGGUAUGAAUCUUUACUUCUUUAACAGAAUCUUUCAUCGCAUUAAUUUACGGUGUUUGGGGCCUGUUUCUUUUACUUUGAGAAAAUUAGAGUGUUCAAAGCGGGUUUUCGCCUGGAUAUUACUCUUGGAAUAAUGAUAUAGGACUUUGGUUCUUUUUUGUUGGUGACUUAGAACCGAAGUAAUGAUUGAUAGGGACAGUUGGGGUCAUUCGUACUGCAAAGCGAGAGGUGAAAUUCAUGGACCUUUGUAUGACGAACUACUGCGAAAGCAUUUGACUAGGAUGUUCCCG
rnacentral:rRNA from 1 species